rnacentral:lncRNA from 1 species
GCGUGAUUGAUUGCCGUUGUCACACCUCCAGAGCUCCACACCCCGACGGAUGGGUUUCAUGCAGCAAGAAAUCGCUUCAGUGGAAACAAUAGCGAUUCUCUGAAAUCAACCUGCAACGGCAGCCGCUCCAACGUCUCGUCAUUCACCAGUUUUGGAUUUUCACGGCUCACCGCCCAACAAUUACACGGACUUCAGUGGAUAAGAGGUAUUCUGGUCUUUUAUAGGACAAUGGAGGUGUCAGAGGAUGACAUGCAGAGACGUGUGAUGAAUUCUUGGAAUUUACAUUCCCCUUUAUAUCUGCACUAUCCUUAGCAAAGAUCAGCCCAGUGUAACCAUGGCAACAGCAGCAUCCUCUGAGUAAUGAUUUACAGUGUCUUCAGUGUUGAGAGGAAUUCAAAUAAUGGGAUCUCACAGGACAGUGGCAAAGAUUUAGCUAUGACUUUCCAGCCUUGGAUGGAU